rnacentral:rRNA from 1 species
CGCGGCCUAUCAGCUUGUUGGUGAGGUAACGGCUCACCAAGGCGACGACGGGUAGCUGGUCUGAGAGGACGAUCAGCCUCACUGGAACUGAGACACGGUCCAGACACCUACGGGUGGCAGCAGUCGAGAAUCAUUCACAAUGGACGAAAGUCUGAUGGUGCAACGCCGCGUGGAGGAUGAAGGCCCUAGGGUCGUAAACUCCUGUCAUCAGGGAGUAAGCCUUGGUCGUUAAUAGCUUCCAAGGUUGAUAGUACCUGAAGAGGAAGGGACGGCUAACUUCGUGCCAGCAGCCGCGGUAAUACGAAGGUCCCAAGCGUUGUUCGGAAUCACUGGGCGUAAAGAGUAUGUAGGCGGUUUGGAAAGUCAGAUGUGAAAGCCCGGGGCUCAACCUCGGAAUUGCAUCCGAUACUCCCAAACUAGAGUAAUGGAGGGGCGACUGGAAUUCUCGGUGUAGCAGUGAAAUGCGUAGAUAUCGAGAGGAACACUCGUGGCGAAGGCGAGUCACUGGACAUUUACUGACGCUGAGAUACGAAGGCCAGGGUAGCGAAAGGGAUUAGAUACCCCUGUAGUCCUGGCAGUAAACGGUGCGCGCUUGGUGUGGGAGGAUUCGACCCCUUCCGUGCCGGAGCUAACGCGUUAAGCGCCCCGCCUGGGGAGUACGG